rnacentral:rRNA from 1 species
GUAUAAUGGGUCAGCGACUUAUAUUCUGUAGCAAGGUUAACCGUAUAGGGGAGCCGUAGGGAAACCGAGUCUUAACCGGGCGUUAAGUUGCAGGGUAUAGACCCGAAACCCGGUGAUCUAGCCAUGGGCAGGUUGAAGGUUGGGUAACACUAACUGGAGGACCGAACCGACUAAUGUUGAAAAAUUAGCGGAUGACCUGUGGCUGGGGGUGAAAGGCCAAUCAAACCGGGAGAUAGCUGGUUCUCCCCGAAAGCUAUUUAGGUAGCGCCUCGUGAAUUCAUCUCCGGGGGUAGAGCACUGUUUCGGCUAGGGGGCCAUCCCGGCUUACCAACCCGAUGCAAACUGCGAAUACCGGAGAAUGUUAUCACGGGAGACACACGGCGGGUGCUAACGUCCGUCGUGAAGAGGGAAACAACCCAGACCGCCAGCUAAGGUCCCAAAGUCAUGGUUAAGUGGGAAACGAUGUGGGAAGGCCCAGACAGCCAGGAUGUUGGCUUAGAAGCAGCCAUCAUUUAAAGAAAGCGUAAUAGCUCACUGGUCGAGUCGGCCUGCGCGGAAGAUGUAACGGGGCUAAACCAUGCACCGAAGCUGCGGCAGCGAACGUAUCACCCAAGACAACUUUACGGAGUUGACGAUUGACGGAGCGAAGCGACGUCAAAGCGUUCAUUAAAGUCGAGUUGGCUUAGGGAUACGUUCGUUGGGUAGGGGAGCGUUCUGUAAGCCUGUGAAGGUGUGUCGUGAGGCAUGCUGGAGGUAUCAGAAGUGCGAAUGCUGACAUAAGUAACGAUAAAGCGGGUGAAAAGCCCGCUCGCCGGAAGACCAAGGGUUCCUGUCCAACGUUAAUCGGGGCAGGGUGAGUCGACCCCUAAGGCGAGGCCGAAAGGCGUAGUCGAUGGGAAACGGGUUAAUAUUCCCGUACUUGGUGUUACUGCGAAGGGGGGACGGAGAAGGCUAUGUUGGCCGGGCGACGGUUGUCCCGGUUUAAGCGUGUAGGUGUGUGUUCCAGGUAAAUCCGGUUCACUUUAACACUGAGGCGUGACGACGAGGCACUACGGUGCUGAAGCAACAAAUGCCCUGCUUCCAGGAAAAGCCUCUAAGCAUCAGGUAACACGAAAUCGUACCCCAAACCGACACAGGUGGUCAGGUAGAGAAUACCAAGGCGCUUGAGAGAACUCGGGUGAAGGAACUAGGCAAAAUGGUGCCGUAACUUCGGGAGAAGGCACGCUGACAC